CUUUGCUUCACAAAAUAAAGAUCCUGGGUUUUGUAUGAAAAUUCGUGAAAGUGCCCUCAGUGGCUCAAUUCCAAUAAGCUAGUCGUGUUUGAAUCUGGGUCUUGUUGAAUUCGAUAUGCACAUGGACUCAUGGUUGGAGCAAAAUAUGUCAGAUAUAUAUUAUUUCCAAAAACUUCUCCUUUAUAAUGUUAUUCUGUUCAAAACUUUAUUUUCUUCUAUGAAAAGACCUUAUAAGACUGGAAUUG
rnacentral:lncRNA from 1 species